GCCUGGUUAGAAACUAAGCAAAACAAGGUCGCCUGUCCUUCGGUUAUUAGUUUACAUAGAAAAAGCCUGUGUGACCAAAGUCACCUAGUUCUUGCGAAGCGUUAACAGGAUGGAAUUAGAGAAACGGAAAAAUAGCGCUAAUGGAGGGGAACGAUUCGAAUCCAAGGAGCGGUUAAUCGAAAAGUGAGAGUGGGUCGAGAGGUCAGAAUUAAUCGAGGAGUCGAAGAGUAGAAUUGUUAGAGUUAGCGUUGUCGAGUUGCGUUGUUGAGAAUAGAGUUGUUAGCGUUGCGGAGUUGCGUGAGCCAAGUUAGAGAAAGAUUGUUACUAUUAGUUCCAUAUUAAACAACCAUCGUUUUCUGUCUCAUUAAUAUCUGUAUAACUAAUUUAAAAUAAAAUAAAUAGUAUCAAAGAAAUUGUAUACCAUAAUAUUUCCGCGAUACUACAAAUAUGAUAUUAAAAUUUAAUAUUAAAGUUUAAUAUAUUGCUUAUAGUCCCUUAUUACAAAGUAGUGAUCUUGUUCUGUCAAUGUUUCUGUAGUUAUGUAUUAGAACUGGCAAUUGUAUUAAAAAGUAGGGUUGAACUUUAUUAUAGGGAACUAAAAAUCAUUGUCUUUUUUAUCUGCAAUCUUGUAGUUUUCAAUAUGUGGAAUCCACAAAUACAAGUUUGAAAUUGUGGGAUUCAAUGAUUCAUACCACAUGACUAUGCAAAGCGAAGCAUCUUCAGAGUACUUUACAUUUCUCCUUGGCGCCAAAUAGACUUAUGUCCAUUAUAUCGUCCAAUGAGUUAACCACACAGAUCAGCAUUCAUACUAGUUCGACUUCUGUUUACAGAACACGUAGCGGAUCGUUUCCAUCAACGAUGUCACUAGAAUGAUGUUAUUAUGACGAAAAAAAUGUCGCCAUGAAAAUUCGCACAAUCCUUAUCCUAAUCCCGAUCCUUAGUUGGUUGCGAAUUGAAUUCUAUUCGUUGAGUAUGCGUACGUGUUACAUUGAGUAUAUUACAUUCGCAGAAAAUUAGUUCGUACUAACAUAUUCGGCCGUCUCGCGGCGACCGGGAAAUAAAUACAGGAAAUAUUAGAUAACUGCGAAAAGGUAUAUAAUUUUUUGGACGCAUUGGAAAAAACUGUUACCUACAGGUCUUGAACACUGAUAUUGUUGCAAUGCAUUCUUCACACGAACUUUUACUGAACUAUCUCGAAAUACAACUUAAUGUAACCGAGUUUCUUCAGGGUAUAAAUACAGCUCGGGGGAAAAAGGAGGAUGCACAGACUUGUAGAAAAAUACUUUGAUGAAUGGACAAUUAGAAGUAAUUGCUGGGUACAUGUUCCAAAGAAAGUCCAGCACCUAAAUACCGGUCGCGUCAAGUAGCGAUAGAUUUUACGUUCUUCAAGGUGGAUCUCACCGGUAAUGGGAGAACACUCUAACCUGAACAUACGGAUGAGACCAGGCACUUGCAAUGUUAAUGCUUUUUAUUAUAAAAGGGAAUAAAUAUUUCAAUUCAUAGAUAACUUAUGCACCACUUCAAUUUGCCGAAAACAAAAAAAGAAUAUGAAAAAACAGUAACACUACAGCCUUUUUUUUCAAAAAGUAGUCGAACUAAUCCAGGUUUGCUCUAUAUAAGUAUCCUUGAGUCAUGUCAGAAUGAAAAACCAAAUAUAUACAAAACACAUGUAACCACACAAGUUUGACUCAAUAGGCCAAAAUGAUUAUUAUCCAUAUGCAGUCAGUGAUUUCAGAAACUGUACUCAUUGAAGGAUUCAUAAUCCAAUUUAUUGCCAAAGUAAAGUGUAAAAUAUUACACAAAUUUUACAUAAAUACGAUUUUGUACCACUGGAUCCCAAAACUUUAAACUAGCAUUUUCGAAUUCCCCGUUCCGAAAGCUGACAGAUUGCAAAAAAAGUGAUUAAUUCUUGAUUUUGCCCUAAAGCAGAGUUCAGCCAAAAACGAUAAUAACAUAGAUUCAACAUUCGUCUACACUUUUCAAUUUGGACCCGCAAACGCCAUAAAAGUACUGGUUUAUUUCGCCAUAUCCGGAAGCAAGUAACAUCUUUCUUUUAUUAUUAAUCUUGUGAUUUAGGUUCCAUAUGAAGUAUAAUCUCGAUUAAAACAGCAUACCAAUACUGUUGUGUACAACAGAAAUGCUGAAGCAAAAUCAGGAGAUUUAUGGAGUGACACAUGAUAUAAUAGUACUUCAAGCAAAAAUAAAGUUUAUACUGAUUUAUGCAAAGUGAUGGUAACUGCAUAUGGUCCAUAGGUGUUUAAGUACCGUGAUAUUGGUCAAUUUUUUGAAAAAAUAAGCAAAUAAAAAUAUUCUUAGCAAGUCAACGCUAGGAAAAGAUACAGUUGGAUUUCAAUUGGUGAAGCAAUCGUUGGAUAAAGUCGGAUGUUGCAUAAGUAAACGUGAUGUUAAACAAUAUGAAAUGAAAACAGUCAAAUGUGCACUUGCUGCAAACUAUUGUUCGUAACUAAUUCGAUUUCGUGUAUGUUGAAAGCUGGAAGAAGUUUAAAAUUAUUUCAUUCUAACAUGUUACGUGUAACAUGUAUAACACAGAGCUUGUGUAAAAUAGCCGAGAAAAUGAAACUAUUAUUCCCUUCAAUCAAUAAAUUGUUUCUAUAAAGCAAAUAUUUUUAAAAGUUGCACACAUUGUGCCGGAACUUAUAGAAAAAAACUAUCAAAUGUGCCUAUUAUAUGUGAUCUUACAGGUAACUUCAGCAUCACACGGGGUAUCCAAAAAAUUGUAGUAGAAGCCGCUAAAAGAGAUAAGACUUGUUCAUCCGAAGCCUCGUGUGCAAGAAAAUCGAAUUUGAAUUUCUAUCAAGUAUCGUAUCGAAGAGACCGAGCAUUGAUUGAAUGUGUUCCGUCGUACGCGGCUACUUUGUUCGUAUUUAUGACUUGGCAUGGCCUGAAUUACUACAACAAUAGUAGUACAACAAACUACAACGUAGUUUGAUCCUUAAAAAUAACGACAACAGAACCUGCUGGAACCGGGAGACAGCAAGCAACACGUGUCAGCACUAUGUUUGCUUACGGGCACUAUGUCGAUAUAUUUUAAAGAUAGAGAUAUAAUAGAGCUGCGGGAGGAAAAUUAUGAGAUAAGAAGGGUAGAACAACAGGAGCGAUAUAACACCCGCUCUAGGUCAGGAGCCUCAAUUUUUCUAGCAAGAAUUAGGGCAAUGGAAGAACGUAUAGAGAAAAGGUGCAGAGAAGAAUGGAGUUAUUAUAGGCAGAAUAAUUGGACAAGGAGCUUGUAUUUUUAAGAAGUACGAAAGGAAUAUUGAACACUUUACCAUGCAAAUCUUUAGUGGACAUGGAAUAUUUAACGUAUAUCGUAAGACGAUUAAUAAGGAGAUCCACUCAA